GCUUGUCAAUACAACUGCAUUUCUUUAUUUUUACUGAAUUCUAGUUUCGUUUGACCCUCUCCAAUAAUUAAUGUCAUUUCAUUUUACAAAUUAUUGGAAUUUUAUGUCUUUAAUGAAUACAUUAUUGCAUUUCCCCUUUUAUAUUUAGAUGAAGAUUUUGUGCUUAGUCCAGAAAGCCAUAGUAGGUUAUGUAGACUGGUAGUUUACAGUUACAUAUAAGAUUUUGUGCUUAGUCCAGAAAGCCAUAGUAGGUUAUGUAGACUGAUACUUUACAGCUACAUAUUAGAUUUUGUGCAUAGCUCUAAUAGCCAUAGUAAGUUAUGGGACUGGUACAUGUACAUUUAGAGGUAAGCAACAUUGACAAAUUCAUGUAUGUUCCUCUGUCAUGUCAUGCAUGCCCUUUUUAUUUCAUUUUAUUUAUUUUUUCCACCAAUAUCAUUAUCUAAAUGGUAACGUUAUUUGUAACUGUUAUUACUCAUUACAAUGCUUGAUUAAGUUUUUAUUAUUUUAUUUUCUUUUUAAUUCUUAUCUUAUUUCAACACCCUUUUAUUGACCAUUUCUCGCUAUGCUAAUCAUAUCCUGGCUGGUAUCACAAAUUUUAUAUUGCUACCUUAUUAUUUUGUCCUAAUUAACAUAAUGAAUUUGUUCACACCAUGCUUACAUUCUUUUAUUUUAGUAUUUAGCAUCAUAUUAUUGAACGUUCAAAUAUCAUUGCCUCAAACGGAUGAAUAUCUUCAUGCAUCUAUUAUUCAUCUAUCUGUAAUAUCUAGUGAUCUACUCUAGUUAUUUACAUCAGUUCCUCUUCGUGUGGCCGAAACCUAGCUUGGUAUCAUUGCAUAUAUUUUUCACCUUCUCUUGAAAGUUGAUUCUAUCAUGCAUGCCCUUUUAGUAAUUUGAAAUCACUGUUUUUGUUUCGUUAAUUCUUAAUUCUUUUUUUUUCCUCACCUUCAUAUGCAAUACCAAUUUUUACCCAAUUUAAAAAUUAGUUUAAGUCCUGUGUUCAGUAGCUCUUGAUCAUGCCAAGCAUGCUUGCAUCAUUAUUUAACAUUCCUUGUUCGCCCUUGCAAUAACUACAUUACCUAAUUAGAGAAUAAGUAAAUAUCUGUGUUUAGUUGUGAGCCCGUGGCCAUGCUUGCAAAACAUGCUCGCAUCACUAUUUGUCUGUUCUACUAUAGAUCUCAGUUGAAUAAUCGACACCUUGUUUUAUUCUAUCGUAAUGUCCACCCUUUUUUGAUAUUGGCUUCUAAUGACUGGUUUUACCAGAAUGGCAUUUUUUUCUAUUAUCUAUUUGUGUUUAAACAUUUGGGCAUGAUCCUUCUUUCAAUUCGUUCACUGCCAACCUUUUGUUCGCUCUCGCCGCACCUAUAAAAUAAUUACUGAGAAUUUGGUGUUUGGUAUUCCUGAUUGUCAGAAUACAAAAAGGACUUGUGCUUAAUAAUUAUAUUCACUUAUCAUGCCUCGCAUGCCAUAUCCCUCACAUAUUUUAGUAUCUUGCAAGAUCAUAAAAGAGCGCCAAAGAUAUGCAAAUCAUUAAUUACAAAUGUCUUCAGUUUCGAUUAAUGUCAUACUUGACUUCUUUAUUCUUGUAACUUUAACAAUACCCAAUUGUUUGAGAGAAGAUCUGUGUCAUUAGCUCUUGACCAUGUCAAGCAUGCUGCCUCAUUAUUCUAUUUUACUAUCGAUUUCCAAUUGAAUAAUUAACACUUUGUUUAAAAAAAAAUGCUUGAUUAUAUAAUGUCUGCCCUUUGUAAUAACUUCCAAUGGCUGGCUUCACCAAAUGGCAAUCUUCCUUUUAUAUUAUCCAUUUGGUGUUUGAACAUGUUGACAUGACCCCUUCUUUCAAUUCGUUAAGUCCUAACUUUUUGUUAGCUCUUGCCACAUCUAUUAAAUAAUUACUGAGAAUUUGGUGUUCGGUAUUCCUGAUUGUUUGUCAGAAUACAAAAAGAACUUGUGCUUAAACAAUUUUGUUCACUUAUCAUGCCACGCAUGCCAUUCCUCACAUGUUUCAGUAUCUUACAACAUCAUAAAAGAGCGCCAAAGAUACGCAAAUCAUUUACUAUAAAUGUCUUCAGUUUCGAUUAAUGCCAUGCUUGACUUACUCUUUUAUUCUUGUAA